rnacentral:rRNA from 1 species
GACGAACGCUGGCGGCGUGCUUAACACAUGCAAGUCGAACGGAAAGGCCCUGCUUUUGUGGGGUGCUCGAGUGGCGAACGGGUGGGUAACACGUGAGUAACCUGCCCUUGACUUUGGGAUAACUUCAGGAAACUGGGGCUAAUACCGGAUAGGAGCUCCUGCUGCAUGGUGGGGGUUGGAAAGUUUCGGCGGUUGGGGAUGGACUAGCGGCUUAGCAGCUUGGUGGUGGGGUAGUGGCUUACCAAGGCUUUGACGGGUAGCCGGCCUGAGAGGGUGACCGGCCACAUUGGGACUGGGAUACGGGCCAGAGUCCUACGGGAGGCAGCAGUGGGGAAUAUUGCACACUGGGCGGAAGCCUGAAGCAGCAACGCCGCGUGCGGGAUGACGGCCUUCGGGUUGUAAACCGCUUUCGCCUGUGACGAAGCGUGAGUGACGGUAAUGGGUAAAGAAGCACCGGCUAACUACGUG